rnacentral:rRNA from 1 species
ACUGCUCAGUAACACGUCGGUAACCUACCCUCGGGAGGGGGAUAACCCCGGGAAACUGGGGCUAAUCCCCCAUAGGCCUGAGGUACUGGAAGGUCCUCAGGCCGAAAGGGGCUUUUGCCCGCCCGAGGAUGGGCCGGCGGCCGAUUAGGUAGUUGGUGGGGUAACGGCCCACCAAGCCGAAGAUCGGUACGGGCUGUGAGAGCAGGAGCCCGGAGAUGGACACUGAGACACGGGUCCAGGCCCUACGGGGCGCAGCAGGCGCGAAACCUCCGCAAUGCGGGAAACCGCGACGGGGGGACCCCGAGUGCCGUGGCAUCGCCACGGCUUUUCCGGAGUGUAAAAAGCUCCGGGAAUAAGGGCUGGGCAAGGCCGGUGGCAGCCGCCGCGGUAA